UAUGAAGAACGUAGCGAAAUGCGAUAAGUAAUGUGAAUUGCAGAAUUCAGUGAAUCAUCGAAUCUUUGAACGCACAUUGCGCCCUCUGGUAUUCCGGGGGGCAUGCCUGUUCGAGCGUCAUUAUAACCACUCAAGCUCUCGCUUGGUAUUGGAGUUCGCGAUCUCGCGGCUCCUAAAAUCAGUGGCGGUGCCUGUCGGCUCUACGCGUAGUAAUACUCCUCGCGAUUGAGUCCGGUAGGUUUACUUGCCAGCAACCCCCAAUUUUUACAGGUUGACCUCGGAUCAGGUAGGGAUACCCGCUGAACUUAAGCAUAUCAAUAAGCGGAGGA
rnacentral:misc_RNA from 1 species